AAGUCGUAACAAGGUUUCCGUAGGUGAACCUGCGGAAGGAUCAUUACUAGAGCAAAGGAUAGACAGCGCCCGCGGAGCCUUGCUCCCUGGGGCUACCCUACUUCGGUAAGGUUUAGAGUCGUCGGGCCUCUCGAAGAAGCUCGGUCCUGAACUCCACCCUUGAAUAAAUUACCUUUGUUGCUUUGGCGGGCCGCCUCGUGCCAGCGGCUUCGGCUGUUGCGUGCCCGCCAGAGGACCACAACUCUUGUUUUUAGUGAUGUCUGAGUACUAUAUAAUAGUUAAAACUUUCAACAACGGAUCUCUUGGUUCUG
rnacentral:misc_RNA from 1 species